UCAUCCUUGGUCCAUUAGAGGAAGUAAAAGUCUGUAACAAGGUUUCCCGUAGGUGAACCUGCGGAAGGAUCAUUAAUGAAUUUAUAAUCCGGCGAGAUGAAGGACGAGGACUGUCGCUGGCCUUUCAUCGAGGCAUGUGCACGCUCUCUUCUGGACUUUCGCCGUAUGGGCGCGGGGCCACCCGCGUCUUCAUAUACCUCUUCGUGUAGAAAGUCUUUGAAUGUUUUUACAAUCAUCGAGUCGUGACUUCUAGGAGACGCGAUUCUUUGAGACAAAAGUUAUCACAACUUUCAGCAAUGGAUCUCUUGGCUCUCGCAUCGAUGAAGAACGCAGCGAAUCGCGAUAUGUAAUGUGAAUUGCAGAUCUACAGUGAAUCAUCGAAUCUUUGAACGCACCUUGCGCUCCUCGGUGUUCCGAGGAGCAUGCCUGUUUGAGCGUCAGUAAAUUCUCAACCCCUCUCGAUUUGCUUCGAGUGGGGCUUGGAUAGUGGGGGCUGCCGGAGACCUGGAAUUCAUUCUGGGACUCGGGCUCCUCUGAAAUGCAUCGGCUUGCGGUCGACUUUCGACUUUGCGCGACAAAGCUUUCGGCGUGAUAAUGAUCGCCGUUCGCUGAAGCGCAUCAAUGAAUGGUCCCGUGCCUCCUAAUCUAGUCUGACGCCCUUCGUGGGCUGUAACUUCCUUAUAGACGUUUGACCUCAAAUCAGGUAGGACUACCCGCUGAACUUAAGCAUAUCAAAGCCGGGAGGAAA
rnacentral:rRNA from 1 species